CGGUGCGUGGGUGUGUGUGUCCGUGUGUCCGUGUGUCCGUGUGUCCAUGCAGCGCGCGUGGGCCGAGGUGUGAGUGUCCGUGCAGCGCGCGUGGCCGAGGUGUGAGUGUCCGUGUGUGGGGCGUGCGAGGCGGUGAGUGCGCCCGCCCCUGCGCCCUCCCGCCGCCUGCACUUUGAUCUUAUUUGAUCGGGCCGAGACCCCCGCCGCGCCGGCCCGAGAUGAAAAGCUUCCCUCCUGCGAAGACCUGCUUCCGCGGGGCGCUGUGCAGCGAGGCCCCCCCGGGCGGCGGCCGCGCCGCGGUCCCCGAGGCCCCCGGGCCGGUCCCACGGGGCCCGGCGCUCAGAAGUGAUGAAUUGAUCAGAUAGACGAGGCUCCGGGCUUGGCCCGGGCCGAUGAUUACCGAGGCGAUUCUGAUCUGA